GACUACGGAAGCCGGAAGCGCUGGGCUAAGCAUUUCCUGAGCUAAGGGCUGCUUACCGUUCUGAGGCCUUGGAGAUACAAAGAUGAAAACAACUGAUUCUUGAGUGGUGCACAGUCCAAUAGAGGAUCAGACAUAAGAAGAAAUGGGGCAUAUUAUGAAUACAACUGUAGCUGCAUGAAAAUUUACUAAGAAGACAGAAAACCUG